rnacentral:lncRNA from 13 species
UGAGAUUUCAUUGUAAAGACUAGAAUGAAAUAAGUAACCAACCAAGUGUGAGGGGCCAGUGUUCUGGAAACCUGUGACAUCCCAUUAUUUCUUUUAGUAGUUGAACUAAAAAGAUUCCCACAAUAGACUUUGAAUCCCAGAUGAGUUUGCCUUAACUGUGUCGAAUGUUUCUGGAUUCUAUUUUUACAUUAUGUGGCAUUUAUUCAGAAAAUGAAUAUUAAAUUUUAAUAACAAAUUAAAAGAAAAAAUAGAAUACUAACACACUUGCUUCAAUAUAAUUUGUAACUUUUCUCUAAAACAUAUAAAUAACUUUUGAUUUAUUCAUGAGUUAUUUUAAUUUACUAUUUAAAUUAAUUUCAUUGGCUUAAAAUUAAUCAUAAAAUGAGCUACAUCUUUAGUUUCACCUUUAUGUGUGACUCAAUAUCGAGGGGAGAGCUACCAGCACAGUAAGUGUUUCAGAGAAGUUCAGCAUUUAAAUGAACCAGUGGUGACCAGAAGGCAAUGCUUUAGAGACCAACAUUGUAAAAGGCAGUUCAUAUUUUCCUGAGUGCUUAUAUGAAAAGGAAGUCACCGUGAGCUAUUAUUUCCAUGAUAUACUUCUUUGGUUUUUUUUUUUUUUUUUUGAGACUGGGUCUCCUCUGUCUGUCACCAGGCUGGAGUGCAGUGGUGUGAUCUUGACUUACUACAACCUCCACAUCCUAGGUUUACGGGAUUCUCCUGCCUCAACCUCCAGAGUAGCGGGGACUACAGGUAACGUUCUUCAAAGUCAUGCCUGACUACCACCCUGUCAUCCAAGAUGUAAUUAGGUGAGUAACCUGAUUUUUGGUCUACCCUUAACUUACAUUAUCAAAACAAAGCAAUUGUCACAUUAUUGUAAAUACUAUUUAUGCCACAUUCAACAGGGCCAUUAACCUGCCAACUUCAGGAACCCUGUCUGUCCUCAUCACCCAGGCUUAAACAAG